rnacentral:sRNA from 1 species
UAGCUCAGUUGGUAGAGCAGUUGACUUUUAAUCAAUUGGUCGCAGGUUCGAAUCCUGCACGACCCACCAAUUUCAGUAUUUAACUCAGAUGCUGAACGUGAAGGAUAACGUUGCGUCAGCAACGGCCCGAAGGGCGAGGCGAAGUCGAGUCAUCCUGCACGACCUACCA